UUUGUGUUCCCUGCUUGAGUCUGAGCAGUGCAAUGCUCUGCUGAGCAAUGAGUUUGUAAGUCAUCUCUGAUAGCCUCUGUCCUGGCUCUGGGUGCAUCCCCUCAGGUGAGAGGCUGUGGGCUUUUAUUUCUCCAGGGGUGGAAUACUGCAAUUCUCCCUUCCUCAGCCUGGGCCCUGGGCCCCUGCACUUUCUGUAUCCUCCCUAUUUACCCAGCAGGUCCUACUCUGUCCAGACCACGUGUGGAUCUUCCCUGUGGGAGUCUGUGAGCAGGGGCGAGUGCAGCGACCAGGCAGCCUUCUGAAACUAAAGGCUGCUUGUCCUCUCCGCAGCAACCCAGCUGCUGCGUCUCGCUCUUGCCUGGCCUCAUUUGAGCCCUGUGGGGAUGGGGAGUCACCUGACGCCGCCUCUGAAGUGACACUCUCUUCAUUCACCUCGGUCUGGGUGAGCAGUCCCUGAUCUGACACAGCCAGGAGCAUCACUGUACUGGGAGAAGCAUCAGACUGGAGCAGGGAGGCCAAGCCGCAGGGUGUUGGCUCUGCUGGAGGCUGUGACUCCACUGAUAAGGCCUGUGUAACAAGCACCCGAGAUCAGGGAUGGAGCCUCUGAAGCAGAUGGAGGGAGUUACGGAACUGCUCUCCCUCAGACUAUCAGUAAGGACACUCCUUUUCCGAAGGAUGAUGUUUAGCACAUUCUGGGAGAGGGUUGAGCUCUCCUGAAAGAUACCGGUUUAGAACAGGACACCACCUUCUGUUGUGUAACCAGAUGCUGGGGGAAGGACUGCAAACUGGCUGCCUGGGAGAUGGUCUCGAGCCUUUGGGAAGGUAGAACUUCACGUCUACGCACUUUGUUUGGCGUUGAACAGUGGUAUGUUCUGCGCACUCUUUUUAAAGGAGGAAGUCUUGUGGGCUUUCUCAUCUGGAGUGAUGCCACUUGUCCUUGGCCUCUGAGCUCUAAUACAAAGGGUUUCUCAUAACUUACUGAGUGACGGUGAUUUUUGUGGCAGCCUCUUGUUACAACAAUGGUGGCAAAUCACAGGCAUCUUAUUCCUACUGAGAUGAGUGGCCUUGGGGUGCUGCUGUUGCUAUGGGCUUCGAAACCCACACUUGGGGAGAGACUCCAAAGUCUGCGGGGUUGGCAUCCCUGCUGAUAGUCCCCAGACAAUUAUGGCCGUAGUAAUAGAAUGAACAAGCUUUCCCACAUGGCUUUGCCAUAGCCUCUUCCUUCUAACUUGCAGCGAGAUCAGAUUUCUGCUAUUCCAGACUGGGGCUUCUCUAAGCAGCCAGGUGCUUGGCUUUGUGACAUGGCCGAACGUUCACUUGUAAGUAGCUCGGAAGGACCAAUUUCAUUUGCAAACUAAAACAGGUGAACUUCUAUUGCUGCCCCCACUGAAGUUGCUGUGAUGCUCUUGUUUCCCUGAAAUCAAGGGAUGGUAACAUGUACCUUGUACAAUCCAUGCCCCAGCAGACGCACUUGAUAUGUUGGCAGCGAUGGAACUAAACUCCAGUUCGCAAAUGUGUUAAACUGGUUUAUUAACCAACUGCCCCGGCAGUCACUCUGUGUCAUGCUGUUUCCAUUAAAGUGUCAUCGUUUGGGAAAUGAAAUUGCUGUAGCUAGCUGUCCAAAGUGACAACCUCCUUCCUACUGGUAGUAUAAUGUUUCCAUGGAAAAACAAGAACCAAAACGGUAGCUCCCAUCAGUUUGGAGGAAGGCAGAAUCACCGGCCUGCUGCAUGCUACCAAA